rnacentral:rRNA from 1 species
UACGUAGGGGGCUAGCGUUGUCCGGACUCAUUGGGCGUAAAGCGCGUGUAGGCGGCCCGGUAAGUCCGCUGUGAAAGUCGGGGGCUCAACCCUCGGAUGCCGGUGGAUACUGUCGGGCUCGAGUACGGAAGAGGCGAGUGGAAUUCCUGGUGUAGCGGUGAAAUGCGUAGAUAUCGAGAGGAACACCAGUGGCGAAGGCGAGUCUCUGGACAUUUCCUGACGCUGAGGCACGAAAGCCAGGGGAGCAAACGGG